GACAAUGGUAGCUCAGUGGUUAAGUUGUUGGGCUACUGAUCGGAACAUCAUGAGUUCAAACCUCAGCACUGUCA